rnacentral:ncRNA from 1 species
CGGGAGGAGAUCCCGCAGGGAUGUGGCUCAACAGAGCUGAACCGUAAA